rnacentral:lncRNA from 1 species
GUGACAUCAUUAGUUGCUAGGACAUAGGGAGUAUCAGGUUACUCUUUUGACAUGAAAAGAGGAACAAUGGGAAGAAGAAGACCGUCCUUUCGUGGGAGAAGCCAUAUUCUUAGGUUGGCUCCUUGAUAUACUGGCUCCUGGAGGGUUGGCACCUUGAGGACUGGAGCCAUGAUGGCUGGCACCUUAAGAAAGGCUCUGUCUAACUGCCUAAAAGUUUCCAGUUUUGGGAGAAAGACCACUCUGCUGAGAGCCCUUCUGGAUUAUCCUAAGAAAAGGUUGAAAUGCCAUCUAGAUUUACUGAGAAAUUUUGGUAUGCAAAAGUGUCACAACUAUAAAUUCCGUGUAGAAUAUUUUAUACACUACUUUAAUUCAUAUACAGUAAAGAUCCAGGAUAUAUCUCAGAAUUUCAGGAAAGAGCUUAGUGUCGGACCACAAAGAGGAGCCACAUAUGUCGAAAUGAAACAAGUGAAGGGAAGACGUCGUCUGGCGAGGUAGAAGCAUCCAAUGCGGUAAAUGAUUACAGCCUUCAUCUACAGGAGGGAAUAUUCGAGCUGAGAACUGAAUGGCAAGAAAGAGCGAUUAGAGGAUCUGGAAAAAGCAUUCCAGGAAAAGUACCUCCAGACGUAUAAUCACCAGGAGAAACCGCUUUGCUUAUUGUAUUAUUUUGAAACCUUCCUUUUUGAUAAAACCUGGCAAAUUUUUUUCACCCAAAG